CCUACGGGAGGCAGCAGUGGGGGAUAUUGCACAAUGGGGGGAACCCUGAUGCAGCGACGCCGCGUGGGUGAAGAAGCGCCUCGGCGCGUAAAGCCCUGUCAGCAGAGAAGAAAAUGACGGUACCUGAAGAAGAAGCCCCGGCUAAAUACGUGCCACAAGCAGCGGGAAUACGUAGGGGGCAAGCGUUAUCCGGAUUUACUGGGUGUAAAGGGGGCGCAGACGGGGCUGCAAGCCAGGAGUGAAAGCCCGGGGCCCAACCCCGGGACUGCUCUUGGAACUGCGUGGCUGGAGUGCAGGAGGGGCAGGCGGAAUGCGUGGUGUAGCGGUGAAAUGCUUAGAUAUCGGGAGGAACACCGGUGGCGAAGGCGGCCUGCUGGACUGCAACUGACGUUGAGGCCCGAAAGCGUGGGGAGCGAACAGGAUUAGAUACCCGAGUAGUC
rnacentral:rRNA from 1 species